rnacentral:misc_RNA from 1 species
CGAGAAGGUUCACUGUCGGUCUGGCUACUUUAGACUGACCAGUUUGCGUUCUUGGAAAAACGGAACCAAAGGAAGAUUCGUGUAUUAAAUUGGACACAAUUCCAUAUUUCAUUAUCGGGAUACGUAUUCGAGCGAUUAUAAGAAAGUCAGAUCAAAGAUGGAUAAACCAGAAAGUUAGUGUUCUCGAGAUAAUUUACUGCUUCAAUCGCUCUAAAGCAAACUACCCAAAUAAUUCAUCGAUGAAAAAAGAUAACCCAUUUUACGAACGAUUUACAAAAUCUGAUUAAUCACACCAGCCCCC